UAAGUUAACACUCUUAGCAAAGCUUAAACUAACACUCUCAGCAAAAUUUAACAGUUUAGCAAAGGCAAUCUCUCUGAGAUUUUCUCUAAAGGACUGGCUGGCUCUGCCACUUAGUAGAGGUCAGGGAUCUGGUAAAGAACUUGGGCCUCUGCAAACCAUGGGGACAGGAUCUUUGGCCAGGGUCAAAUGGACCAAGCAGUGACUUGAGGCCACAGAGGAAAGAGUCAAACACGGGAUUGCAUAUGAAAUCCCAGCUAUUUACAUAGGAAAGGUUACUUGACAACUCUGUAGCUUUUCUGGCCACUGCCUCAGGCAUAAGAGCCUUAGGUAGCUAACCAAGCUACUCCUGCAGGCUAAGAGUCUACCUAAAUGGGGCAAAGCCAGGUAACUAGAUGGGACCAAAGGGGCUACUUCUGGAUAGAUGCGUGCUGACCUAAGAAGCCAAUACUUUUAACCCUACAACUUCCCAGAAUGGUUGAAGAAUUAGAAUUGAGUAAGGUAUUCCAAAUUACAGGUAAAAGGCAGAAACACACCUCUUCUCUGUGAGCUGAAAGAAUGAGGUGGAACUGCUGAUAACACAAACACGGAAGCAGAACUCAAAGAACAGACCUCCCAAUCAGACAGAUCUGCUCUGACACUGCCCCACUGCACUUCAAAGAAGAUGAUGAGCAUCAAAAACCUCCAUAUGGAGUUGAUUCAAUAGUGGCAAACUAGCCGCUGAGAAAAGAAAAUGUCCUAACUUCAUUUGCAGACAGAAUGCUGUCCAGAAAGGACAAAUGGACUGCCAAACUCUGCCAAGGUUGGGUAAGCAAGUCCUUCCUAAUUCCUACUUCACAAAAAGUCUGUCAGAUACUCUGGACCAGAAGGCUGAAGAUCGAUGUUCCAAUGUUAUAGAGAAUAUUGGGGACUGUCCAGGCAGUCAGGGAUCUCUGUUAGUUCUAUAAUUUUUGGAAGCUGCAUCUCAACACUUCCUGCAUACUCAGGAGGAAAACUAAAUAUCAAGAAAUGCUGUUUCCACCCAGAAUCUGUCUACCCUCCUAGCCUUGCGCCAAACAAAACAAAACACCUAGUUCAAUUUGUGUUGCCCACACACUCAUUGGAACAUGGUCAAACCUCACAGCGAUCAGCCCCUUAAAGAAAACUGAAUCCUCUCCCUCCGUGCCCAUCACCCCCAGAAACCAUCAAUUGUGAAGAACUACAGGUCAGCAGCGUUAUCACAGUUUUUAAAGGACUCUCGUCAAUUACU